AUGAAAAGAAGGAAGGGGCCCAACACACAGCCAGGUCUAGCCAGACAGCACCUCCUGGACAAGUACAGUGAUCUACCAUCUCCUCAUUUGAUCCAAAAUGGACACAUUCUCUUUCUUUAUGUCACAGCAGAAUCCAGCAGAGCUGCAAUUGCAAGAGAAAUAAUCAGAUACAUACCAGAAAUGACUGAAGAGCAGGCAAAAAAUAAAGUGAAGCUACUUGUUGAAAAAACUUUAACAAAAUACAGAAAGCUAACUAGUGAGCGAGAAUUCAGUCAGUUUGAAGGGGUAUGUAGCCGAAGAUUUUGUGGAAUCUCCACUACCACCACAGUUCCCCAUGCAAAGUCUCCUUCUGCUGAACAACAAGUUCCUAAACUUAGUCCUUUAAAGACAAGACAGGUUGCUAGAGGCAAUUGUCCUUCUUGUACCAGAUACAAGGAGUCUCUGAAAAACAUGAGGCAGAAACAUCUGCAGAUACAGAGAAGCAAGUACCUGGCAAUUAAGACACUUAUAGCACAGCAGAAAAAGAAGGGAGCAAUAAGGAUACUUAAUCAGAAACUGAAAAGGAAAGAAAAGCAAAUAUCCGACUUGAAAAAUCUGUUGAAAUCGCAUGAUGCUGAAACCAUCGCUAAAUUAAAAAAACAAUACAAAGUGAAAGCAAGAAGUCAUAUGCGCCUGAAGAAAUCCCUUACACACAUGAGACGAGAGGUCAAAUCAAAUUCUGUUGAUGAUAUGGAUCGAAGAUGCUGCGAGUUAGAAGAAAGAAUUAAUUCAAUGAACAGUGAGAUUCAUGAUCUUCAGGUCGAAAACCUUCUUUUGGGAGAAAAAAUCCAGGAUUUGGAAAGUGAAAAAAAGCUUACAAAAACAGACGCAAAGUCGUACUCAAAUGAAAUGCGUUUGAUGGUGUUUGAUGCAAUAACCAAUCAGGUGCCUACUGCUAACAUCCACAAUUUGAUUACAAAGUUUGGACUGCGCUUCAGCAUUAGUUUAAGUGAUGUGCCAAAAAGAGCUACUGUGGAAGCCAUGACCAGAGAACUGGGGGCAAUAAGUGACCUCCAGACUGCUGAAGCACUUUUAGCGAACACACACUCUACCCUGGGUUUUGAUGCAACCACACAGGAGGGAAUCCACUUGAACAGCAUACAUUUCACCACCAAAGAGAACUGUUAUGUUGUUGCUGUAGAUGAACUUCCAGGAGGCUCUGCUGAGGAUUACCAGAUCCAUAUUUGUGACUCCAUCAGUAACCUUGCCAAUGUCUACUGUCUUUUUUUUGAGGCAGACUACGAAAACAUUCUUCAAAAAAUGAUAGGGAAUAUAUCAAACACGCUCACUGACCGCUGUGCUGCCAAUCAUGCAGCCAUUCGUUUAGUCUGUGCAUCUUGGAACAAGGCCCUGAAUGAGCUGAACUGCAACCUUCAUCCUCUGGAAACAAUCGCUUCAAAGACAAAGAGUGCUCUGAAGGAGAUCGAGAAAUCCAUGGGGAUUACUGGAAAAAUCAAGGGGAAAGACUGCAUUGGGGCCAACAUUGUGGUUCAAAUGAAUAAGAUGAGGUACAUGGAUGGCAAGGGUGACCCUCGUGGCUUUAAGGUCUUUCUGGAUCACAACAAUCUCCCUCUCGGCCUCAUACCACGCUACAGAGGUAAUAGACUGCACAUUCUUUUCCAUAUAUGUGGGAUAUUCUCAAGUCAUCAUGCAGCACUAAAGUCAUAUCUCUGUGGAGGAACAUCCUGUGGAGGCCUGCGUGCUAGCAUACUGGAAGACUUCAACUCUACAGCUGGACAGGUUGAAAUGCAAGUUCUGGGUUUGCUU
ensembl:lncRNA